ensembl:lncRNA
CAAUUUAUGUGUUUCAUUACCCGCAGACUCAGUUUACACCUUAGUAUGGCUGGUUAAUCAAACAAAUCUUUUAUUGUUGCAUCUGUUUACUUGUGGCAUGGGGAAGGUUAAUGAUUUGGCGAUUUCCGCGAAGCUGUGGAGUAGCAGAAAACCCACUCUAAACAUCAAAAUCUUGUUAUUGAACAUGGAAUAUGAUGAAUGUGAGCUUUGCUGAAAUAUAGGAAGUUACCUGCCACAGACAGAUCCAAAGAGACUAGAGACUUUCUGAAAGGACAAUGAAUAACUCCAAGCUUUUGUUAUGAGGAGUACAUUUCCAUAUCUCUGAUUAAUGUUGUUCUGGCAUAAGAAAAGAAAAUACAACACACUUGUCAAGCGUGUGUCGGUAGCAUCCAGUCACAGUGUGUGUUAGACAGAUUGUUCCAAACCACGGCUCUAAAUAUGCGGCUCAAUCCUCUGUUGUUGUUAGCAUCCAAGGCUAACACGCGGCAUCACAGCAGCCAAUGACAGACGUAGAGGAGGGGCAUACCACCAGAGAGCAUUGUGGGUACUCCAAAAGUAAUGAUUUAUUUCAUUUCAGAGCUCGCAGACGAGUAUACUUCAUUAUUCGGUGUAUUAACAUUAUUUCACAACUACGAUACGUGACACAGUAAACAUAAGCAGCACACACUGCUGUUAGCACCGUGACCGAGAUGGACAGGGUCGUCAUAGUAGUAGCUGGGUCGGCGCAUUUGUUCCUUAAGACUAUACUUUCAGGGAUCAUUUCUAUAGUUUUCAACUUGAGAAAUGUGUUUCUAAAGUGUGUGGUCUCGCUAACCACGAUGAUGAGUUGGUGAUACUUCUUCUUGAGCGCGAAGCGGGUGGAGAGACUUGAUUCAUUUCAUAUGCUCUUUACUUUUGAUGACCGUUCACUGUUUUCUCGAAAACAGCGAUGGGAGAAGUAUGAUCAGAGUGGUUACGAAGUACUGUAAAAGAUUAAUUU